rnacentral:rRNA from 2 species
UGGGGAAUAUUGGGCAAUGGGGGAAACCCUGACCCAGCAACGCCGCGUGAGGGAAGAAGGUUUUCGGAUUGUAAACCUCUGUCCUUGGUGAAGAAAGAGAUGACGGUAGCCAAGGAGGAAGCCCCGGCUAACUACGUGCCAGCAGCCGCGGUAAUACGUAGGGGGCGAGCGUUGUCCGGAUUUACUGGGCGUAAAGGGUGAGUAGGCGGUCAUAUAAGUCAGGUGUAAAAGGCUAAGGCUUAACCAUAGUUAGCACUUGAAACUGUAUGACUUGAGUGCAGGAGAGGUAAGCGGAAUUCCUAGUGUAGCGGUGAAAUGCGUAGAUAUUAGGAGGAACACCGGUGGCGAAGGCGGCUUACUGGACUGUAACUGACGCUGAGUCACGAAAGCGUGGGUAGCAAACAGG